CUUUUGAUGUGAAAAUGAUUGUUAGAAAAAUCUUGGAGUCUGCAACAGGUACUAAGUCAGAAGAUCUUGAGCUAGAGGUAUUGAAAUCUCAACUAGGAAAUAUUAUGUAUUCUAAAAGAUAUCUAUUAGUGUUGGAUGAUGUGUGGAAUGAAAAUAGGGAGAAAUGGGAUAAUCUAAAGAAAUUAUUAGAGGGUGGCUCUAGUGGAACUAAGAUAUUAGUAACUACUCGCUCUGAAAGAGUAGCACAAAUAUCUAGCACUGUGAAACCAUAUGUUCUGAAAGCCUUAUCCCCCUCUGAAUCUUGGUCUUUGUUCCUUCAAGUAGCGCUUAAGGGACAAGAACCAAAAGAUUCAAAUAUAAAAGUAAUUGUAGAGAAGAUUGUAAACAAAUGUGUUGGAGUUCCUCUUGCAAUAAAGACAAUUGCAAGUAUUUUAUGCUUUAAAAAUCCAGAAACUGAAUGGCUAGUUUUCUUACAAGAGGAACUCUCUAAGAUAGCUCAGAAUGAGAAUGACAUUUUGCCAACCCUUCAAUUGAGUUACGAUCAUCUGCCAUCACAUUUGAAGCAUUGUUUUGUAUAUUGUGCAUUAUUUCUCAAGGAUUAUGAUAUUGAUGUGAAAACAUUAAUUCAUCUUUGGAUUGCCCAAGGAUUCAUUGAGUCAUCAAAUUCAAGUCUAUGUGUUGAAGACAUAGGGCUCGAGUAUUUUAAGGAUUUAUGGUGGGGGUCAUUUUUUCAGGAAGUGGAAAGAGAUAGCUUUGGCAAUAUAAAAAGUUGCAAAAUGCAUGAUUUGA
rnacentral:misc_RNA from 1 species